rnacentral:rRNA from 1 species
UACGGGGGGGGCAAGCGUUGUUCGGAAUUACUGGGCGUAAAGGGCGCGUAGGCGGCCAGACAAAGUCGAGCGUUAAAUUCCAGGGCUUAACUCUGGGCUGUUGCUCGAUACUAGUCGGCUAGAGUGUGGAAGAGGGUGCUGGAAUUCCCGGUGUAGCGGUGAAAUGCGUAGAUAUCAGGAGGAACACCGGUGGCGAAGGCGGGUCUCUGGGCCAGUAUUGACGCUGAGGAGCGAAAGCGUGGGUAGCAAACAGG